UGCGCAGGCGGGAAAUUAAGUCAGUGGUGAAAUCCUGCAGCUUAACUGUAGAAUUGCCAUUGAUACUGGUUUUCUUGAAUACAGUUGAGGUAGGCGGAAUGUGUAAUGUAGCGGUGAAAUGCUUAGAUAUUACACAGAACACCGAUUGCGAAGGCAGCUUACUAAACUGUUAUUGACGCUGAGGUACGAAAGCGUGGGGAGCGAACAGGAUUAGAUACCCUGGUAGUCC
rnacentral:rRNA from 1 species